ACCUGGGUGGCUCAAUGGUUGAGCAUCUGCCUUUGGCUCAGGUCGUGAUCCUGGGGGUGUGGGAUUGAGUCCCACAUCAGGCU
rnacentral:tRNA from 1 species